UACGUAGGGUGCGAGGCGUUGUCCGGAAUUAUUGGGCGUAAAAGGAGCUUGUAGGCGGUUUGUCGCGUCGUGCCGUGUGAAAUCUCAAGGCUCAACCUUGAGCUUGCAGUGGGUACGGGCAGACUAGAGUGUGGUAGGGGAGACUGGAAUUCCUGGUGUGAGCGGUGAAAUGCGCAGAUAGUCAGGAGGAACACCGGUGGCGAAGGCGGGUCUCUGGGGC
rnacentral:rRNA from 1 species